rnacentral:rRNA from 1 species
AUGGGCCUUUCUUUGUUUGAGGGAAAUAACUCAAUUUUUGUAUCAGCCAUACUUCUGCUAUAUAUAUGGAAACAAUCAGUGUCUAUUUCUUUUUUAUCUGAACUGAGACAUAAUUCUACUAUAUGUAAACAAUCAUUGGUUCUUUCUUUUUUAUCUAAACUGAGAAAUAACUCUAAUCAAUUGUUUUUUUAUUUAAUGUCUAAGUAUCUUCCUUACCCAAAACUUGUGCCAAAACUGGUAUUUCUUUCAUGUGUGCCUUGUGCCAUAUAUUAUCCAACCCCCUCUACUUCUGUACAGUUUUUUGUGGUGAAAGAUUACUGGCACCAUGUGAAUCUUAAGCUCCACCAUUUCCUAAUUUUUCUCUCCUGGUCGCCUCUAGGUUUCCUGGCAAGGCGAUGGUGUAUGAACCCUAUGCGCCUGCCUAGCUGUAUUGCGGCUCGAGGAUGCGGCGGAGGUGGCACAUGA